rnacentral:rRNA from 1 species
AACGAACGUUGGCGGCGUGGAUUAGGCAUGCAAGUCGGGGGAAUCCCAGCAAUGGGGGAACCGGCGUAGGGGGCAGUAAGGCAUGGGUACCUACCCCGGGGUUCGGGAUAGCUGUCCGAGAGGGCAGGUAAUACCGGAUGACCUGGUGACAGCAAAGAUUGAUCGCCCUGGGAGGGGCCAAUGUGAUAUUACCGAGUUGGCGAGGUAACGGCCCACCAAGGGGAAGAUGUCUAGCGGGUGUGAGAGCACGACGCGCGCCACUGGCACUGAGACAAUGGCCAGACACCUACGGGUGGCUGCAGUCGAGGAUCUUCGGCAAUGAGCGCAAGCUUGACCGAGCGACGCCGCUUGAGCUAUGAAGGCCUUCGGGUUGUAAAGCUCUGUCGGGGGGGAGAAAAGGGUAACACUUUGAUCUAUCCCCGGAGGAAGCACGGGCUAAGAUCGUGCCAGCCGCCGCCGUAAUAC